AUUGAACGCUGGCGGCAGGCCUAACACAUGCAAGUCGAACGAGUGGCGGACGGGUGAGUAAUGUCUGGGAAACUGGCUGAUGGAGGGGGAUAACUACUGGAAACGGUAGCUAAUACCGCAUACCAUCAGAUGUGCCCAGUGGGGAUUAGGUUGUUGGUGGGGUAAAGGCUCACCAAGGCGACGAUCACUAGCUGGUCUGAGAGGAUGACAAUCCACACUGGAACUCAUACACGGUCCAGACUCCUACGGGAGGCAGCAGUGGGGAAUAUUGACCAAUGGGCGCAAGCCUGAUGCAGCCAUGCCGCUUGUAUGAAGAAGGCCUUCGGGUUGUAAAGUACUUUCAGCUGGGAGGCGUUACCCGCAGAAGAAGCACCGGCUAACUCCGUGCCAGCAGCCGCGGUAAUAC
rnacentral:rRNA from 1 species